rnacentral:lncRNA from 1 species
UCUCUAACCCUCUCCAUGUCUCUGCUUACUCCCUACUCGCUCACCACCACCCCAUCAUCCUUCUUUUAACACCGCACACUUCCACUCUUUGGUCAAUCCCUCUUAUAUUUUAAUUGUUGUUGUUGUUAAAAACAUCAAUUAUUUUUUAUGAACAGGAAUACCACAAACAUCAAUUGAACAAGAAAAUCAUUAAAAUAUAAUUCAAUUAAACAAAACAAUAUUGGGGCUUUGUUGAGAGAGUUCAGUGGGUAGGUUGUCUUCUUGAUUAAGAGAAUGAUGGGGUUUGGUGUUUGUGUAAUGGGUGGAAAGCAACGACAUGUCUUAAGGAUGUAUAAAUUUUAUUUGUGUAGUGGGUUUGCUUCCUUCAUGUUGUUGGUGCUGUGG